AUGCUGACAGGAAUAUGUGAGGAAGUUAACUUACUGAACUCUGAACAUCUCCAACAGGUGCAAGGCAAGGGGGCUGGUGCCAAAAACGUGCUCAACAUCAGACCCUAAAAUGAACGAGCUUGUCACCUUGUUCCUGCUGUUGUUGGCUCCUGGACUCGACUGGUGCUUUCCAGUCACAGCAGGUGGAAGCUCGGUGUUGCAGGUGUUUUACUGCAAGUAUUCAGGAUGUGCUUUUAAUGUGACUCAAGUAUUUUGCAACGACGAGUUGCUCUUCAGUCACACUCAGAUUGCAGAUUGCACAGGCCUCCCUCCACCUAAUACUGUGUGCCAGCACGAAGGUCGGGCAUUUGUUUCCAUCGAUACACCCGGUAGCUGCGAUUUUGAAGGAGCCAGUUACAUCAAGACCACAAAAUGUACAAGUAUGUACUUUUUGUCCUUGUCCUUUUGUUUUAUUUAUUUAUCAUUGUCUUUGUUCCUAAACCCAAUUUUUCUUUUGAAGUCCCAGAUGCAUGUGCUUUUGUAUAAAUCUGAUUUAAAUUCUCAUUUCAGAAUCCUGCAUUAAGCUCCCUUGCUAGUUUUGAAACAACACAAUGAGAAUCCUGUGUCUUGUAAACUCCUGCGGGGUUUUCUCAACUCUGUUAUAUUAAGUUGUCAAACAAUGUAAUGAUGAUGAGCGGUAAAUGGUGAGGUAGAGAAAUUAGUCAGAGGGAAAAAUGCAGAACAGUCCAAAACCACUGUUGAUGCUGUAAGCAUUUCCGUUUACAUUUUUGCCUCCAUUCAGUAAUUGGGUUUGGUUGACAUAUAGCAAGAGUCUGUGGUUACUUUGUAAAUGCCAUUACUCAUUACAAUCUCAUUCAUGUUGCAGUGCAUUCUUGUAGUGGUGGCACUGUGUGAAUUACUAUAAAACAUCUCUGGGACCCAGUUAGAUUUCAAUUCAUGGUCAUUUAACUGUUUCUAUUCAAUAUGCAGUGUAAGAAGACUGAGUAAAUUGUUCAUACUGAUAAUACACUGCCUGUCAAAAUAAAAGUCACACACUCUAAUGUUAUGUUGAACCACCUUUAGCUUUGGUUACAGCAUGCAUUCACUGUGGCAUUGUUUCGAUAAGCUUAUAAUAAUAAUUUGACCCUUCUAAAACUGAUUAACAUCUUUUCCACGACCAGAGGAUGUGUCUUCAGACAUGGUUGUUUAAGAAAUGAGAAGUUAAUCACUGCAUCAAUAACGUGUUGUUAGCUGAAACAUAAUCAUCCAUGCAGUAAUUAUUCAAUGUGAGGCUCUUACCUAUUUGCUUAGUUAAAUCCAGGUGGUGACUUUUUUUUGGACUGGCAGUGUGUAUUUGAAUUUUACUCACCAUUAACUGGUGCCAAUUGGUUUUGUGACACUUCUUUUUAUUAUCUCAACUAGACUCCACCAAAGCUUGUACCUUCACCAAUGGUAAGCUUUUCCUGCAGAUACACACUUUACAUCAUGCUGCUUGCUAUUGUCAUUCACCAUUAACUAGAGUAUUUUCUUCUCUCUGCCGCAGCUACCACAUCAUCAUCAAAUACAACAAUGAAUGUACAGGAGCCCCAGAAAAGUCCCAUAUCACCCGCUGUCUAUGUGGUUCUUGG
rnacentral:lncRNA from 1 species